CACGUAGGGUGCGAGCGUUGUCCGGAAUUAUUGGGCGUAAAGAGCUCGUAGGCGGUGUGUCGCGUCGGCCGUGAAAACCUGCAGCUUAACUGUGGGCUUGCGGUCGAUACGGGCAUCACUGGAGUUCGGCAGGGGAGACUGGAAUUCCCGGUGUAGCGGUGAAAUGCGCAGAUAUCGGGAGGAACACCGGUGGCGAAGGCGGUUCUCUGGGCCUUACCUGACGCUGAGGAGCGAAAGCGUGGGGAGCAAACAGG
rnacentral:rRNA from 1 species